AGCCUUCCAGAAGUGCGAAAGCGACCGUACUAGUCCACGAAAGUGGAGGAUAAUACUUCAAAUAGGUGAAAAACCUUGCUUCGUAAAGCUAGACCUGGAGAAGUUAGAGAAGUAG
rnacentral:ncRNA from 1 species